CUUAGCUAUAAUUGUGUACUUUGUAGCUGUGAUAAUCAGUGACGGCCAGACUGCUCAAUUGUUGGACGCGUUCGAGUAAAUCACUUUUGUCAGGGCUGCAGUACAAACACUUAAGACACACCCCCGUCCACUUUACCCUAGCCUUAUGCCCUUGGGGGAAUCCCUGUCGCCAUCUUGGACGGUGGUCCAAAUGAUUAGCCAAGCAAGGGAAAUUCGCAACCUAGCACUCGUUCUUAGUCGUUUUUGCGAGUGUACAAUUAUGUUAACUCAGGGGCCAGAACCGCACCAUAAUCCGCUAAUAAAAAUCCAUAAUUUAAAAACAACAUCACUGGAGAAGUCAACAUACAUGUAGUGAGAUGUUCUCCAACUACAAAUCCCACUGCACAAUGAGGGCAUUAUUGGGAAUAGCUCCUCAUGGACCGAUCACGUUUGUGUCCACACUGUACGCAGGCUCCAUCCUCAUCGAUGACCUUGGGUGAUUCGGAGGGUGAAAGAAGAAGUUGUAAGAACAAGGAGAAUGCUGAUGAGCUGGUUGCUGACGGCUGGUCCUGGGGCUGGCUAAGGGUCAAUCUCAUCCUCUUCUUCCAGCUCACUGUCAGACUCCGAGUUGACAGGACACUGGAGAGAAUGGCAGCCAUGUCUGAGGACAUCGGGAGAUGACUUGAAAACCGGCCACUAGGAGCAACAAUUUUUAUAGAUGUCCGCGACUUUUUGCCUGCGUGAAGUCCAGCUCUUUUCCUUAAACAUGUGUACAGUUUGGAGGAAGAAGGAUACCUUGACCUGUCGAAUUCUAUCCACCUCUGUGUGGGAUAUGUGUUCCUACCUCGUCUGCGGGCAGAUCUGCAGCAUUUCAGAGAGUUGGAAUAAUCACCCUUUAAGUACAAAGGCGAACCUGACACCUCACCAGCUGUGGCAUAUCGGAAUGCUCCAAACACCUGUGCACAUGAUUGAUUUUGUCUUAGCACUGCACCUUAGCACUACACACAAAUACAGAUAGAGAUGUAGUAGUCCCAGAGUUAAUGAUCCAAGAUCAGUUUUGCAUUUCACCUCCUGAUGAUUAUGAUGACUGACCUGUUAGAAUAAAAAAAAGGCUUAAUCAUGCUCUCUCUAUCCACCUGUCUCUCGUCUGCAGGUAUGUUUUGACAUGAGAGAGGAAGCCAGUCCUAUCAUUGCCAUCUCACCAGUUCUUAAGAUAACCUUCAGGCCACCUGGGGACCCAAGGCUGGUUAGGAGACACCGCUAGAGACACUGUAAUUGUGAUGAACUGAGAGAAUAGUAGGGUAGCACUGUAAUUCAUGAAUGAUAUGCUGUCUGCCUCUGUUCUUACAUAUUUCCCUCUGUCUUUUAUACCUCGCUCCCCAACUCGCCUUUCUUCCUUGUUUUAUAAUGUACACCAUAUGUGCAUUGAACAUGUAUUUAUAAUAUUACAAUUAUCAUAAUUAUACUGCAUGUAUUAUGUAUUUAUAACACCUGGAUAAUGAACUUCUUUCAAUAAAGCGUUUCACA